rnacentral:rRNA from 1 species
CCUACGGGUGGCAGCAGUGAGGAAUAUUGGUCAAUGGCCGAGAGGCUGAACCAGCCAAGUCGCGUGAGGGAAGACGGCCCUACGGGUUGUAAACCUCUUUUGUCGGAGAGCAAAGCGAGUCACGUGUGACUCAUUGAGAGUACCCGAAGAAAAAGCAUCGGCUAACUACGUGCCAGCAGCCGCGGUAAUACGUAGGGGGCAAGCGUUAUCCGGAUUUACUGGGUGUAAAGGGUGCGUAGGUGGCAGGGCAAGUCAGAUGUGAAAGCCCGGGGCUCAACCCCGGUACUGCAUUUGAAACUGUCCAGCUGGAGUGCAGGAGAGGUAAGCGGAAUUCCUAGUGUAGCGGUGAAAUGCGUAGAUAUUAGGAGGAACACCAGUGGCGAAGGCGGCUUACUGGACUGUAACUGACACUGAGGCACGAAAGCGUGGGGAGCAAACAGGAUUAGAUACCCCGGUAGUC